GUAGACAAGGCAACAUCUAAUAUUAAGAAUACCAAUGUUAGGCUAAAGCAAACUCUUAAUCAGGUGAGAUCCAGUCAUAAUUUCUGUAUUGACAUCAUUCUCCUAUGUAUAAUUCUGGGAAUCGUUUCUUACUUGUACAAUAUACUGAGAUGAUUCUAAUAUGAUCUUUCCUCAACUGCAAAUAAUCGUCAUGUUCAUGGUAAUAUUUUCCUUUAUUGAUUUAGGGCUUGCUUUCCUUAUACCAUUUUAAGAUCUUCAUAUUAACAUCUAUAAUCAAUUGUCCUCUGGAGGGAAAACUAGAUCAGCCAUUUUAGGUUGGCUGUUGAAUAACAUCUCAAGUAAUGUGUCUCUUUGUUAUAAAGUAUAAUCUGGGGCUGCACAACUACUUCUGAAAUAUUCUUUGCAAUAUUAAGUUAUUUGUCCUUUCAUAUUGGUACCAAAAAAAAAUCUUGUAUUUGUGACUUAAAUAGUGUGUGGUGUACUAUUUAAUUAAGCUAUUACUUAUUGAUGCUCUUUUCGUUACUGUAA